rnacentral:misc_RNA from 1 species
GGAAGGAUCAUUAACAAAUCAUCUGUCGCAAGACAGACAUUCGUGCCUCCAAGCACACAUGUGUACCAGUGUUACAGUCAAUAUGUCAAAUACAAAAACUUUUAACAAUGGAUCUCUUGGCUCUUGCAUCGAUGAAGAACGCAGUGAAAUGCGAAAUUUAAUGCGAUUUGCAUGAAUCUGUGAGUCAUCAAGUCUUUGAACGCACCUUGCACUCUGCUUCUGGCAGAGUAUGCCUGUUUGAGAAUCAUAAAAUUUAUCAACUCCUUUCGGGUUGGAUGCUGGCCUUUAGUGGCUUGAAUGCAUGACUGGUUCGUGUGUUAAAAGCCUCGUGCUUUCGCCGAACCAUAAUCUACAUUGAUCUCAAAUCAGGCAAGACUACCCGCUGAACUUAAGCAUAUCAGUAAGCGGAGGAAAAGAAACUAACAAGGAUUCCCCUAGUAACGGCGAGUGAAGCGGGAUCAGCUCAAAUUUAAAAUCUGGCAGCAAUGCCCGAAUUGUAAACUAAAGAGGCGUUUUCGGCAAAAGCAUCUGCGUUCAAGUCCCUUGGAAUAGGGCAUCACAGAGGGUGAGAAUCCCGUCUGGAUGCGGAUGCCGAGCCAUAUGAGGCGUCCUCAAAGAGUCGAGUUGUUUGGGAAUGCAGCUCAAAAUGGGAGGUAAACUUCUCCUAAGGCUAAAUAACGGCAAGAGACCGAUAGCGAACAAGUACCGUGAGGGAAAGAUGAAAAGCACCUUGAAAAGGGAGUUAAAUAGUACGUGAAAUUGUUAAAAGGGAAACGAUUGAGGCCAGUAUUACUGGCGGCAGUUCAGCCUUAUUGGUGUAUUCUGUCGUCGGUGAGUCAGCAUCAGUUUGGAUCGCGGGAUGACGGCUAGAGGAAGGUGAUGGUCUAGGCCAUUUUAUAGACUCUGGUGCAGUACCCGUGGACUGGACUGAGGCAAGCAGCUGCGUUCUCCGGAUGUUGAAAGUGUCCCCCAAGGUACCAAGACAGCAUGCUGAUUUGGAUUGCAAGGGGCAUCGUAGGCAUUCGCGCGUAGUUUCUGGAUGCUGACGAAAUGGUCUUAAACGACCCGUCUUGAAACACGGACCAAGGAGUCUAACAUGUAUGCGAGUAUUUGGGUGGCAAACCCGAGUGCGCAAUGAAAGUGAAGGAUGGGAGUCGCAAGAUGCACCAUCGACCGACCUUGAUAUCUCUUGAUAGGUUUGAGUAAGAGCAUAUCUGUUGGGACCCGAAAGGUGGUGAACUAUGCCUGGAUAGGAUGAAGCCAGAGGAAACUCUGGUGGAGGUCCGUAGCCGUUCUGACGUGCAAAUCGAUGGUCAAAUCUGGGUAUAGGGGCGAAAGACUAAUCGAACCACCUAGUAGCUGGUUCCCUC